rnacentral:rRNA from 1 species
AGAGUUUGAUCCUGGCUCAGAGUGAACGCUGGCGGCAGGCCUAACACAUGCAAGUCGAACGGCAGCACAGUAAGAGCUUGCUCUUAUGGGUGGCGAGUGGCGGACGGGUGAGGAAUACAUCGGAAUCUACUCUUUCGUGGGGGAUAACGUAGGGAAACUUACGCUAAUACCGCAUACGACCUACGGGUGAAAGCGGAGGACCUUCGGGCUUCGCGCGAUUGAAUGAGCCGAUGUCGGAUUAGCUAGUUGGCGGGGUAAAGGCCACCAAGGCGACGAUCC